rnacentral:rRNA from 1 species
ACCAGCAGCCAUAUCACCCUGAAACUUGCAACUGGCAACCCACUGAAGCUAAGCAGGUGUGAGCCUGGUCAGUAGCUGGAAGGGAGACCUCCUGGGAAAAACUAAGGUUGCUGCUGGAU